AAACAUAACUCAAUGAUAUUAUAAUGAGCAAUUUCUGCUCAAUGAAUUAAAUAGCCGCAGUAUAUUAACUGUGCUAAGGUAGCAUAAUAAUUAGUUUUUUAAUUAAAAACUAGAAUGAAUGAAAAAAUGAAGGUUUUUUUGUUUAAAAAAAUUAAACUUUAAGUUAAAAAGCUUAAAUAAAUAAAAAAGACAAAAAGACCCUUUAGAACUUUAUAAUUAUUUGUUGGGGAGACUAAAACAAAACUAUAUUCCCAAAUUAGUGAAUAAUAACCUAAAAAGAAAAAAGAACAAGUUACCUAAGGGAUAACAGCGCACAACUUUUCAAAAGAUCAUAUUAACAAAAUGUAAUGCGACCUCGAUGUUGGAUUGAACAAUGCAAACAGAAAAAUAUUGAAA
rnacentral:rRNA from 1 species